GUCGGAUAUGAUCCCAGUAUCCCUGCUGCUCCUCUCUCCUGGUUCUUGCUCCUCAGGAGUCAGAGUCACAGAAAUGCAGUUCUCAUUUGCGGGAGCUCCGUGGAGAAAGUGCUGGCCAGUUCAUCCUUGCAGGCCUAAUUCCAGGCGUGUGUUAUAUAUAUGUUAUAUUGGUGGAGUGACUGUGUUCUUUAUACUUACUGAGUGCAAACCGUGGGGGUGAAAAGGGCUUUCCCAGACUCCAGCAUGUUUAUUUCAAGUGUCCUCUUCGAUGGCUAAUCUUGGGUGGUCAACUUGACAGUGUGUCAAGGAAGAGAGAGCCUCAUGUGGGGAGUUGCCUAGAUCAAAUUGUCUGGUGGGCAUGUCUGUGGAUCAUUCUCUUUAAUGUUAAUUGGUGUAGGACGGCCCAGCCCACAUUGGAUGGUUCAUACCUUAGGCAGGUAUGCGUGAGCUGAAUAAGAAAGCUGAGCCAGAGCCUGAGAGCAAGCCAGCAAGUAAGCUCUCUCCACACUUUCUACUUCAAGUUCCCACCUAAAGGUCCCGUCUUGACUCCCCUCCACGAUCUAUGAAACAAAAUAAACCCUUUCCUACCCUAGCUGCUUUUGGUCAGAAUGUUUUAAAUCAGCAACAGAAAAGCAAACUAGAACACCCUCAAAAUGUCUGUUCUGGAGCAGGCUGGUCCCCAACUCUGUAACAGGGAGGAUUAUGCAAGAUCUAUGGCAACUAUUGUCUGUAUUUUUUCUACCAGUGCCCUAAGGUAUCCCUCAGAGAUGGGGCAAGUAAGGGGCCUCAGGAAGCUUAUGGGCGUUUCUCUUUCUAUCUCAGGAGCUGGCCUGCAUCGUUACUUCGGAUCUUCACAGACUGUGGGCCCCGGUCAGAGUCCAUAGAGGAAUGGGAUGUUUACCCCAGCAUUCGGAACAAGAGCAGUCAGUACCCACUGAGUCACGGAGGAUGGGCUUCCGCGGGUAGCAGAGGAGCCAAUGAGCACUACCGAGAGAGGGAAGCUGUUGAGUAGCCAGAGAGGUUUACUUUCCUGAGAAACACCAACACAGAUCUGAGGGGCUGAAGAUCUUUCCAUUCUGGCUCCUCAGGUUACCUGGGGGAGGGGACCGCCUUCUUGGCCAAAGCAUUGGGACUUUUUUUUUCCCCAAAUCUCCCUCACCUCUCUCGACCAUCUCUGUGGCAUUUCUUUUCAGGUCCCAGACUGAACUCUCUAAAAAAAAAGUUAUACUUUUCAGUAUUUCGCAACUACCCAAAAUUCCAACCACAGGAAAACAAUUAUUUAAAUUUCUCCAGGCGCCUAUACGUGAAGACUAUUUAAACCUUCCUCUUACAUUCCCACGGCCUUCUCCAACGGAGUUUUCCUGGGGCAGAGCUCUGGGGCUGAAGCUUCAGCUGCUGACUUCGGGCUAGUGGCCCGGGGAGGAGCCACUGCGAUCUAAGCUCAGCUUUUGAUCUCAAUUUAGAAAACUGCUGCGGCCUCUACUGGUUUCAAUAGAAUCUCAGAAGUUUAAUGAACUGAAACGCAUUGAAACUGCUCAAACCCAAGAAGGGCUAAGCUGGUUUAAAUUCCCUUCAACAGAUGCAGGAACAGGAGAGGGAGCGGCGGGUGUGUGGGAAGCCAGGACGUGGUACGCUGCCUCGCGGGUGUGGGAGAUCUUUCGUCCCCAGGUCACCUGAAAACAUGGCAGACCUGAGGGUCGCGGAGUCGCGGUAUGGCAGCGAGCCCCGGGCCAGGCUGGUCGCAGAGGACAGGAUAUCCUAUUGCGGUGUCGUGUUCAGGCAGCUACGGUGUGGAUUGGUGUCUCUGAACGGAGAGAUAGGACGCAAAUGCGGCAGGCAAUUGAUCUAAGGCAGGUGUGAUGCCAGGGCCUGCUCCCCUUUCCUUCCUGUGCUAAGUCAGGGAUAUGAACGGAAGGAAAAUAGUUCCUGUGUGGACUAAAGAGAUAGGUCCCACCGAGAUUUGAACUCGGAUCGCUGGAUUCAGAGUCCAGAGUGCUCACCAUUACACCAUGGAACCAUAUAUGUGGAGAGGCUUUGACUCACGAUAGGUGACCAAAUCCAUUUUCGACUUCCAUCGUGCCCACGAUUUCUUCAUCAAGCACUUUUCUUACAGUCAGGAUCAGAGCACCCUAAUUCACAACCGGAAGAAUCGCACAUACGAUCGUUCUGUUCCGCUCUUGGCGUGUGGGGUGUAGCGGGCCCUCACCUCUUUACUCCUUCUUAGUCCUUGUCUCUCUCUUUCGUGCUCCUCAACCCCCGGCGCAGCCCAGGCCACAAAUCAUCGGGAAGUUGCAGCCAUGGGAAGAAAGGAAGGCGGGCCCCCUCUGGAGGAGCGUCGCAGCAUCUCUGGUCAGAAUGCUGUAGGGUCUGUACAGGAGACGGGGCGAAACGAUCCGGGCAGCCCUUCGAGCCAGGGCAGCGCUGGCCUAAGGUGAGUACGGGACAGAGUCAGAGGUAGGGUCUCAGUGACGCUUCGCUGAAUCGCCCGGAACUGCAAGAUUGUGCUUGAGUACAGUGUUUCUUUCGAGCUGGUGGCAGCUCCUCUCAGCGCCCCCUCGUGGCUACAUCAGCACGUGUACGGAGAGAGAACACGGGUCUUUGAUGCCAUUAAGAUGAGGAGAAAACUGGGUGAUACUUGCCACUUUAGAAUGAAAAGGUCAGCAAACUACAGCUGAGAUCGAUGUAGGAGGGGAACACGCGCUUCCGUCCUGGCGUCAGGUGGUAGUUGAGAAAGCAUCUACAUUUUACUAUUCAGAAUGUGGGUGGUUUCCCAAAUACAGUCCUAGAGAUCACGGGAAAGCACAUGACUGUGUCAUAGACCCUUAAAACUGCUGCAGCUUAGACCUGCAAACACCGGAUGGCACAGACUGUCCCACUCAGACCUCCACAGCUAACAUCUGGCCACUACUAACUCUUUUUGUCUUUUGAGACACAGUCUCUUUGUAACAGCCCUGGCCGUCGUGGAACUUGCUUUGUAGACCAGGCUGGCACUGAACUCCCAGAGAUUCUCUUGCCUCUGCCUCCUGAGCGAUAGGAUUAAAGGCGUUUGCCCCCACCCCCACCUACUAAUUCUUUAAUGGCGGACAGAGCUUUAGAGUCUGUGUGGGAGUAGACACUGAGGCCAUGGAUUUUCCUUGGACUGGGUUAUAUUAGUUUCAAUAGGUGCUGAGGUUUGGAUUAUAAAUCUUCAAUACCCCUCGCUUCUCCUAAGGUUCGUGUGAAGACUAGGCUCCAGCACUUUUGAGCACAGAUUUCAUCAAGGGAGUAUUAGGAAACGCAGCCUGCUGGGAGAAAGUGGGUCAGCGAGGGGCAACUUUGAAUUGUAUGCCUUGUACAGGUUUCUUUCUCUCAUUCUCCCUCUUCCCUCAACUCCUGACGGCCAUGGACGGAGCAUCUCCACAGGGCCAUAUGCUCCCUGCUCUGACAUGCAUUGACUGUGGUAAAGAUCCUGCCUCACCUUGGGUUGACAGCAAGGUGCCAGCCAAGCACGGGCAGGAACCUCUGAGAUCACCAGACCAAAGAAACCUUUUCAUGCUUCGUUCUCAAAAAAU
ensembl:lncRNA